GGAGCUAGAAAAAUCGGGGAUGGAGAAGAUGGGUGGAAAGCAAAUGUCCUGUUUCUUCAAUUGUCAAUGACAACCGCAGUCUCGGCUGGAGGAGAGGUGAGGCUCACACCCAGCAGUCCUGGACCAUUUCCUUAGCAACGGGAGGAGAAAGACAGCUUAGACACUCGCGAGCCCCAGCGUUCUCUUGGAACGUGCCCUGGCUUCCUAACGUGGCAGCAGUUCGGCAUCUUCCCGUGGCUCCGUCAGCAGCCAAAAGGAGAAAGGUCCAUCGGAAAAAUGGCAUAUUACAAAUUUUGCUUUGGGAAGCAGGGCUCGGUUCAGACCAUUGUCAAAGGGAAGAGAGGGGGAGGCGGUUCUUAAAGCAGCCGCGGUCCCUUUGCCGCCCAAGCAGCGGCAGCCACCGCCGCCGCCGCCACUUUCGCGUGCAGCAGGAGCCCCGGGGCGGAGAGAUGGUAAUCCGGGACUGGAUCUGACUUUCAGAAACUUAACGUAGCAUAACUUCUCCCCUUGGCAUCCCGGGCCACCCAGAGAGGGUGAAGACGUGUCCCUCCAAACAGGAACUUUGGGGUGAAGUGUGGGAAGUACCUAUAUGGAAGGGACAUUCUCCACCCAAUACCCCACCCGGAGCCCCUGUGAAGUUUAUGGUAAAUGUUGGGAGUUUGAUGGUUAAAAGGAAGUGAGUCCCCUGGGGAUGCUAGAAGCAGGACAGGUCUUCUCUGGGUGCCCAGCCUACUUCUGUUCUAGGGUGUAUCCUUUCACUUAAAGGAGGUGCUUCUUUUCUGGGAAGGUAAGCAGAAACACACACACACACACACACACACACACACACACACACACACACACACACACACACACACACACACCACACANNNNNNNNNNNNNNNNNNNNNNNNNNNNNNNNNNGCCCCAUCAUCGCGCGCUGCCUCCGCCCGCUGCAACAAUUUUUUUUUCCUUCCAGUCCCUCUGCAAUUCAUCUGCUUGCAUCAGUUGGCCGACAGAACCAACCUGCUGGGAACUGAGUGAGGAUGCUACAGCAACUUCUCACUUGCCUAGUGCAAGCCUAGGAUACUCCUCCUUCUGUGUCUCCUCCCCUCCUCCUCCUUGGCAAUCUCCACCUCCUCUUCCUCUGGAACAAGGGCUUCCCCUGGAAGCUGCCGCAGUGGUUUCCACCGGCGGCCCUUAAAUAAAUUCUGAAGUCAUCACGUCUUUUCUCUCCUCCUCACGCACACGCGCUCGUGGAUACACUCCACUCUUCUCCCCAAAAGCUUCUCCGGGGCUGCUGAGGAUCACUCUGGUCUCAAUGCUCCUGAUGAGGGCGAGGACCAUGGGUGAUCUAAAGUAUAAAUGGGUUCUCUUUGCCCUGCCUGCGCUUUUCCCACACAAUCAUCUUUACAGGAAAGCUUGUGUUGGCAUGUGCUUUUGAGAACUGGGAACCUUCCUGCUCUGUGGCCUUCUGUGUUUGCUGUGGCUCUCUGCCGCUUUCUUCUCUUGAAUCAGAGGCAAGGUAGUCAAGCUCACGGGAAGCUGAAUCAGUCUAGGGUGUGGCUGGGUCUGUCACUUUGCCUUACCUCUUCAGGUCGCCUCCAUUCAUUGCCUUAGCGCUGAGGAUCUCAUGUUAAGUGUUCCCUGUCUGCAUGACUGAAUUUCAGCUUUCAAUAGUCUGGCAGCCCCAAGAACAUGUUCUAGUCCCAAGAAACUUUCCCCUCCCCCAUUCCUCCUCCUCCCUCAAGCAUCUCUGUCUCUCUCUGUGACUCUCUCCCUCCCUCUCUCUGUCUCUUUCCUCCCUCUUUUCCCUCUCCCCGACCGUGUGUGUGUGUGUGUGUGUGUGUGUGUGUGUGUCCAUUCAUAUAGAUCAAGAAUAAGGAGACACCAGUAGAUAAAAACCAAUACAUUAAGGAAAUGUUUGAGAGAGGAAGAUACUGAUGCACUAAAGGAACACAAAGAGAAUUAAGCAUCAAGUAGACAUUGAAUAGAAGUUACAGCAAGGGUCCAGAGUAAGCAGUAUUAGAAGCCCCAAAGAGCAGAAUCCAGAUUUCACUGAGAAAUGAUGUGCACAUCCUGACUCACUGAAGUAUGAUCACUAGAUGAAGUUCUUUUGGGGGAAGAACUUAACUAGUUGAUGACUCUACAGUAAAGUUUAAGAUGAGCCAUAUGAUUUAUAUUCCUUUCUCUCCUGGACUGUUAUUCAAGUUUCGCAUCACAAUGUAAGAAUUAAGUGUAAAAAUAUUAAACAUUAGUAGAUGAAUAGUAUUAUUGUUAUAUGCUACAUAAAGUACUAUUUCUCAAACAUGCUCACUUGAGUGUCCUAGUUCUUUGUAGAUGCUGGGACUCUAAGCCUCGGGUGGAUCCUGAGAGGCCACACUCUUAACAAUGUCUAUACAAUACACUGCAUUGGUGUGAACAAAAUCUCCCCCCUCAAAGAAGCUGUGUCUGUUGAGACUAAUGGACUGAUUGGAAUGUUCCAGGUCCAGAGGCUAAUUAUUUUGUCUCACGCUAACAUUGGCCGCUAGGAACAGUCAUUCCCUAUCAAAAUGGAGAAAGGUUCGUAUAAGAAGUUUGCAAAAGCACUAGAUUAUCCCAUUAGCAAGAACACAAGAAACACCAUUGUGAAUGUUCCUAUAGCUUAUUGUCCAUCCAAUUCAGCAUACAAAAAUAUAUAUAUAUAUCCAAGGCAGCUUCUUAUAAUGAACAUUGCUUGGUCUCAACCCCCAUAGCCAUGCAUCCUUCAGGUCAAAGGUGCUGUGUGGCUCAACCUUAUAAUUCCUGAGAAGUUCCAAAAUGAUACUAGUCCAGCUAUCUCAGCAUCCCACAUUGAUAACCACUGCCUAAAUAUUCACAGAAAUGUAAAAAAAUAAAGGAGCUACUAAAUAUCCAUUCAUGAAGUGAAAAGUCUUUUUGUACUUUUUAUUAUAUAUGAACAGUUUUAAUGUUAAGGCCAUCACUGGCUUCCACUGAUUUUAAUAGAUGGUAAAUUAAACAGUAUGGUGAACUAAAACUAUCUCCAUAUAGUUGUCUACAUUUAGUAGUAUUAGUGCAUAAGAUGAAAAUAUGAAUUUAGUUCGUAGAUACAUAUAGGAUCAUGGUCAUAGAUAUAUAAUGCUUCUUUUGUACAUUUUAUUACAAAUAUUACUUUCUAUAUUUAUUGUUUAAAAGGAGUAUAGCACAAAACUACUUUUAUGUAUACUAUAGUGGGUGAUUUUUCAAUUAUAUGUCCUGAGUAUCAAAUGAAAUAAUAGUCUUAGCCAGAAUCUCUAAAGAACAGACCCAAUAUAAUGAAAAUACAUAAAUGGAUUAUAGAUUGUGGUCUGGCUGGUUUUACAAUGCCUGUCUCUCAAUGGAAAGGCUAAGAAUCCUGUAUUCUUUGAGUGCACCAGGCUGUAUGCGAUGCCAAAGAUAUAAGUUCUGGUACCAGGAAAGGAAUUUCUCAACCACAGGAUAGAUGAAACUGUCCAUGAAAGAGAGAGCAAGCAGGGAAAGUAUCAACAGCUUUGUGUUUCCUGGUCCUUUUAUGUGGGCUGCUAUCAGAAGGUAUGACCCUGGUUUAAUGUGUCUCCUCGAAUGACCCAAUCAAGAAUAUCCCACAGAGGUAUAUUCAGCAGCUUGGGUUAUAGUUAAUUCCAAAUAUGGUAAAGUUGAAUAUCAAGAUGUCAAUUUGCGAACUUGACAAACAAAAUUCCACCUCUUUAUGUCAUACAUAAUUUCC
ensembl:lincRNA C230021G24Rik RIKEN cDNA C230021G24 gene